AAUUGUUUGAACCCUCUAAUUAACUACAGCCGCCCUCACUUUCUACACAAAAUCCCCGAACCACCGCCGACGAGGCCAUUUCUCUCCACUUCUCCACUUCUCCACUUCGUCCGCCUCUUCUUCUCCAAUUCCUGCCUGAAAUCCUUGACUUCUCCACUCCGUUCGCCUCGUCUUCUCCAUUUGACGGCUGAAAUCUGGACUUCUCCAUCCGUUCGCCUCUUCUUCUCCAUAUAUUUCUUCUUGCUGUCAUAGUGAACUCAAGAGAGUUUUGAAGAAAAAUACUCAAUUGAGAAGAAAGGGUUUGUGAAGAGAGAGUUAGGGCAUUUCGGUCAUUGUGAAGCUGAUCUGUUUGGGAACAAUGAAUCUUCAGAUUGUGUGGAAACUAUUGAUAAAGAAUGUGGUGAAUGAUGAGUAAUGAAGGUGGCCAUUACUGUUCGAAAAAGAGUGAUGAUAUUUGCGGUGAUGUUUGUGGCCAGGUGCAUAUAUCCUUGUGAGAUGGACGGGAUUAUAGUUAGAAGGGUGAUUCCCUCAGACAACAGUUGCCUUUUUAAUGCUGUUGGAUAUGUAACGGACCAUGACAAAAAUAAAGCUCCAGAAUUGAGACAGAUUCUUAUCUGUUACAUCUUAUCUUUGCUGCUAAACAUGUGUAGUUAAAGAUCUCAAACAUAAUUCGAUUUCUAUUCAUGUGUUUGCUAUGAUUUAUGGGGGGAUCUUCAAGCUUAUGUGCUGUUUUGAGAAUUGGCUAUAGCGGCAACUGUGGCAAGUGAUCCUGUAAAAUAUUCUGAAGUUUUUCUUGGAAAGCCCAACGAAGAGUAUUCUUCCUGGAUUCAGGACUCAGAGAAGUGGGGAGGUGUGUUGAACUUCUUUUCUUUGGGCAUGUUUUGGCGGUCAUUAGACAGUUGAAAGAAGACGGGCCUAAAUCAUUACGAAUGCCAUUAAUGAUUCAUCUCAGAACUGCUAGCGUUUCUUGUUUAGCCUUAUAUAUGGGAAGCAUCUAGCUUUGCCAUAUUUCUUACAUUUGGGUAAAGAGGGUGACUUUCAUGUUUACACCAUGGAAAUGUUCUGCAUGUAUAUGUGCUUGUGUGCUUGGUUUAGUUGAUGACCUUUUGUACUUAGUUUGCAGUUCAUGUAUAUGUGCUGCAUGAGAAAGAGCUUACUGUCCUGUUGCCGAAUUUGUGUGUUAUGUGACAGUUCACAUUGAAAUUGCAGUAUAAGAGCAUAGCACAAGUAAAUGAAGAUGCACUGAAGCAGAUGGAAGUCGCUCAUGAAAACUUCAAAGACCGUCAAUGAUUGAUUAAAAUUCUGUCAAAUCUUUGACGGGUUAUAACUGUCAAGAAUCUGUUAAGAAAUUCUUGACAGUUUAAAAAGGGUCACCUUCCUCUCUUGAUAGGAGUUUCAAUGACUGAGUGAAAAACUAUAGGAAACCUCGUCAAGAAAUUGGGUUUUUCUAGUAAUAUAUAUAAAAAAAACCAUACCACUAUUUUUCAGCUUUGGGCAUGCAUAUACAUUGAUCUUUUUCAAACUUGUGAAGGGCGAGGCACUUGAAUAGAUGCUAUUCAAAUUUGAGGGAAGCUAUAAAUGAAGAAAUGAGUAUACAGUGGGUUCAGAUUUUUCAUCUCUCGAAACGUCU